rnacentral:rRNA from 1 species
UACGUAGGGUGCAAGCGUUAAUCGGAAUUACUGGGCGUAAAGCGUGCGCAGGCGGUUCUAUAAGACAGAUGUGAAAUCCCCGGGCUCAACCUGGGAAAUGCAUUUGUGACUGUAGAGCUGGAGUACGGUAGAGGGGGAUGGAAUUCCGCGUGUAGCAGUGAAAUGCGUAGAUAUGCGGAGGAACACCGAUGGCGAAGGCAAUCCCCUGGACCUGUACUGACGCUCAUGCACGAAAGCGUGGGGAGCAAACAGG